rnacentral:rRNA from 1 species
CACGUAGGGGACGAGCGUUGUCCGGAUUCAUUGGGCGUAAAGCGCGCGUAGGCGGCUCGGAAAGUCGGGCGUGAAAUGCCGGGGCUCAACCCCGGGACUGCGUCCGAUACUGCCAUGACUAGAGUUCGGUAGGGGAGUGUGGAAUUCCUGGUGGAGCGGUGAAAUGCGCAGAGAUCAGGAGGAACACCCGUAGCGAAGGCGGCACUCUGGGCCGAUACUGACGCUGAGGAGCGAAAGCGUGGGGAGCGAACAGG